GAAAGAACUCUGCCAGGGCUCUCCGCUCUCUUCGGAAGGUGGAGGAUCUUUCUCCUGUGGCUUCCAUGGACUCCCAGGGCGUAGAACAGGCAGAUCCUCAGAUCCCUGUUUGUGAUAGAAUCUUGAGACCCUGCAGAAUAUUCACAGAUGAAACGAACGGUGGCAUAGAGCACACCCCUUCCCCUUUGUGGAGAAGUGUGCACCACCCUGCCCUCAGAAACCUUCGAGAAUUAAAUGCCCACCCUCUUCCCGGAUCAAGAGGGUACAAGAGUGGGAAAGUGGAAGUGAGUUCGUGGACGAAGACCAAAGAAUGCCAGCAGUGUGAAUUGGUGGGGCGGAUUCCAGGCAGUUGUUCUCAUUUCUAAAUGUAACUGAAGCUCUUUUACCCGGAAAUAUGGCUUGAGAUCACAAGAAAGAGGAAUCAGGCCAGAGCCACAUUUUGGCACUGGCACAUCAGAAAUACCAUAGGCGUGGGUUUUCUCACAGGGUGGUAUUUCACUGUUUGGACAUCUGGCUGAUCCGCUGAAAACAUGCAUUUGUGAGAAAUACAUGGGAACCAUUUCUUUUUGAUAAAUAAGGAAAUACUUAGGGUUAGCACUGGAUUCUUUUAGCAAUAACAACCUUUUUGUUUCUCUUCGCUAUGUGAGGAGAGAAAGGAGACUCAUGUUUAUCGUACAAACGAUUACUUUAGCACGCUGCUCUUAGAGAACAAACCAGAAAGCCACACACAUUAUUCCUACAUGUUUCCAACUCUGUGGGAAAUUCGCGUUUUGAAACUUCGGUAUAUUACAUAUAAAUAAACAUACCUUAUUGAAAUCCCAUCUUUUGGAAAUGUUGUUUUAUAAGAGAGUAAAGCAGUAGACGAAAGGCUUGUCUCUAAAAGAUUGUUCUGUUAUAAGCUAUUUUUCUUUGCUAAGAUACUGUUUUAACAAAAAUAUUUCUAAUUCAAAUUCUGGAGACUAUUUUUUUUAAGGUUCUGAGCGAUUUCUCUAGUCCAGUCUGG
rnacentral:lncRNA from 1 species